UGGCACUGUUGUGUCAUUCUCCACACUCACUCCAUGGCUGGGAGGAGGGCAGGGAGAGGGAAAUCUCAGAGGAUGGAUCCUGGAAGGGAGCCUUGUGCUCUCCCCAAAGUUUUAACCCUGGGCUUCUCUCCCUCUCUCUUUCAAGCUGGUCAUAACCCAGUCUGGAACCUCCAGUGCUGCUGUCAGGAACUCAUUUAAAACAUCAGGCAGUGUUUUUUAACAUGCUAAAAGCACAGGCUUGAUUCACACAACUCUUUGGAAGAAGCCCCAUCUGCUAAAUAUAGUCUGAAACCUGUA